rnacentral:rRNA from 1 species
UACGGGGGGGGCAAGCGUUGUUCGGAAUUACUGGGCGUAAAGGGCUCGUAGGUGGCCAACUAAGUCAGACGUGAAAUCCCUCGGCUUAACCGGGGAACUGCGUCUGAUACUGGAUGGCUUGAGUGUGGGAGAGGGAUGCGGAAUUCCAGGUGUAGCGGUGAAAUGCGUAGAUAUCUGGAGGAACACCGGUGGCGAAGGCGGCAUCCUGGACCAUUACUGACACUGAAUAGCGAAAGCCAGGGGAGCAAACGGG